rnacentral:rRNA from 1 species
CACGUAGGGCGCGAGCGUUGUCCGGAAUUAUUGGGCGUAAAGAGCUCGUAGGCGGUUUUGUUGCGUCGGCUGUGAAAUCCCGAGGCUCAACCUCGGGUCUGCAGUCGAUACGAGCAAACUAGAGUGUUGCAGGGGAGACUGGAAUUCCUGGUGUAGCGGUGAAAUGCGCAGAUAUCAGGAGGAACACCGGUGGCGAAGGCGGGUCUCUGGGCAACAACUGACGCUGAGGAGCGAAAGCGUGGGGGAGCGAACAGG